rnacentral:lncRNA from 1 species
CUUCCAGAGGCUGUCUGUAUGGCUGGCUUGUGGUCCCUGCCUCUGUCUUCAAGGUCAGCAAUGGGGGUGAGUCUCACACCACGCCACUCUAACAUUGACUCUUCUGUCUCUCCCAUCCACAUUUAAAGGAUGCCUGAGAUUCCAUUGGCUUUGCUUAGAUGAUAUUGGAUUCUGAGGAUAAUGCAUGGACGUCUCUGAGGAGGCACUCUUCUGCCCAUCAUGCACUGUGCUGAGGGAAGCCAGAUGACAAGAUAAACAGAUACAUGAAUUGCAUGCAUUUCUGUAUAUAUGUGCAUUUGUAUACAUACAUAACUUCACAUCAAGAAAUGCAUAUUGACAGAAGCAAAGAAAAUGCUGUAAUGGAGAAUAAAAUGGAGAACAAGUCUGUUGGAAGAGGAGACAUCUGUGCUGAGAACUGAAAGAGAAUACAAUCUCUCUUCCAAUUUCUCUUCUCUAAGAAAAUAGCUUUAUGGUUUAUACUCAUAAGAUUGUUUUGAGGAUUGAAUGAUGUGAAUGAUGUAAAUGAUGUAACAAUUUUUACAGAACAUCUAGUAGUAUCACUGAUGAUUCCCCAAUGCUUACAAUAGUUUCUUCACAGCGGUGGCUGCAGAACAGCGGUGGCUGUAGAACAGCGGAUUUUGGUGACCCGCAAAUGCUGCUGCCUGAUCAUUCCUCUGGAAGUUUUGUCUCAGAGGAGUACCCAGCCGUG